rnacentral:rRNA from 1 species
GACGAACGCUGGCGGCGUGCUUAACACAUGCAAGUCGAACGGAAAGGCCCCUUUGGGGGUACUCGAGUGGCGAACGGGUGAGUAACACGUGAGUAACCUGCCCUUGACUUCGGGAUAACUUCAGGAAACUGGGGCUAAUACCGGAUAGGAAUCCUUGCUGCAUGGUGGGGGUUGGAAAGCUUCGGCGGUUUUGGAUGGACUCGCGGCUUAUCAGCUUGGUGGUGGGGUAGUGGCUUACCAAGGCUUUGACGGGUAGCCGGCCUGAGAGGGCGACCGGCCACAUUGGGACUGAGAUACGGCCCAGACUCCUACGGGAGGCAGCAGUGGGGAAUAUUGCACAAUGGGCGGAAGCCGGAUGCAGCAACGCCGCGUGCGGGAUGACGGCCUUCGGGUUGUAAACCGCUUUCAGCAGGGGCGAAGCUUGUGGUGACGGUACCUGCAGAAGAAGCACCGGCUAACUACGUG